GGAGAGGAUGCUUCGGGUACGGUGCCCAUCUAAGUGCCCUGGAACGGGCGGUCAUAGAGGGUGAGAAUCCCGUAUGGGAUGGGCGGCCGUGCCCGUGUGAAGCUCCUUCGACGAGUCGAGUUGUUUGGGAAUGCAGCUCUAAGCGGGUGGUAAAUUUCAUCUAAAGCUAAAUACUGGCCGGAGACCGAUAGCGCACAAGUAGAGUGAUCGAAAGAUGAAAAGCACUUUGAAAAGAGAGUUAAACAGCACGUGAAAUUGUUGAAAGGGAAGCGUUGGCCACCAGACGCGCCCGGGAGGGUUCAGCCGGCACUUGUGCCGGUGUACUCCCCCCCGGGUGGGCCAGCAUCGGUUUGGGCGGUCGCUGAAAGGCCCCGGGAAUGUAGCACCCUCCGGGGUGCCUUAUAGCCCGGGGUGUCAUGCGGC
rnacentral:rRNA from 1 species